rnacentral:rRNA from 1 species
AUGCACGCUGGCGGCGUGCCUAAUACAUGCAAGUCGAGCGAACAGACGAGGAGCUUGCUCCUCUGACGUUAGCGGCGGACGGGUGAGUAACACGUGGAUAACCUACCUAUAAGACUGGGAUAACUUCGGGAAACCGGAGCUAAUACCGGAUAAUAUAUUGAACCGCAUGGUUCAAUAGUGAAAGACGGUUUUGCUGUCACUUAUAGAUGGAUCCGCGCCGCAUUAGCUAGUUGGUAAGGUAACGGCUUACCAAGGCAACGAUGCGUAGCCGACCUGAGGGGGUGAUCGGCCACACUGGAACUGAGACACGGUCCAGACUCCUACGGGGGGCAGGAGUAGGGAAUCUUCCGCAAUGGGCGAAAGCCUGACGGAGCAACGCCGCGGGAGUGAUGAAGGUUUUCGGAUCGUAAAACUCUGUUAUUAGGGAAAAAAAAAUGUGUAAGUAACUAUGCCCGUCUUGACGGUACCUAAGCAGAAAGCCACGGCUAACUACGU